UUAAAUAACUUUGGCUCAGUUAAUAGUGUUGUUCCACAAUACAACUUGCAACUUCUUUCUCUCUAACAGAGCCAUGCUGGAAAUUACAAUGGGGAAGAAGGUCCAUCAACCUCCACAGCACAGCUUACCUCAGUAAGAUGUUGUUCAGCAUUGACCCACAACUUACAAUGACACUAAAUAGACAUGGCACUGAAAUUCAAUGUCAUUUAUGUUCCUAUAGCUCCCUGUGAAACAACUUUACAAGGUAUAUUUAGAAUCUCAAAUAAACAAAUCACACCUAGAAAUGGAGCACAUAAGGCUGCAGAUCACCAAAACAGAAAAGGAAAUACAACUGCUGGACCAUCAGUUAAAGGAAAUAAAGAAGACCUCAUAAAAUGAGAUGCAUAUUGUCGUUCUUGAACAUUGGGGAGGUGAUGGGUCAGUUAGAAAUGAUUGACACAUAUCAUGUCUCUAACAGCUCUUCCAUCUCGUGUAUCAGCAGGGGGGGUAUGAUUAAUACCUGGAUCACAGGGGGAAAGAGUAGGACAUUGUUCUCCUCUAAUAGUGGCAAUGUUGUGGAGAACCACACAUGCCACUAUAAUGUCACAAGCUCUCUCUGGGGUGACCCUGAGCCUACGAAGGCACUGGAACCGGGCCUUGAGUAUCCCGAUGGUCAUCUCCACUCUGGCUCGUGUCCUGCAGUGAGCCAAGUUGUAGUGUCGCUGUGGGCCAGGCUCAGGGUCAGGGUAAGGGGUCAGCAGAUAGCGCUGGCAGGGGUACCCUCUGUCUCCGAGUAGGUAACCAUCGAACUCUACUAUGAUAAUACAAGAUACAGUUUGUUUCAGUUGCAAUAGGAGGAAACAAAAUAUUUGAUCAUAGGAUAUAACUAUAUACUGUAUAUAAAUUAUAUAUAUAAACUCACCACCGGCAAAUCUGGCACUCAGUGUCGACUCACGAAACAUUCGUGAGUCAUGCACAGACCCAGGCCACUUCGCUUCCACAUUGUUAAUCAUGUGGGCUCCAUCACAUAUGAUCUUCACAGUGGAGAACAGUAAUUAGCUGUAUGGUGUAGUGUAUUUAAUUUGGAAUGUUAAAGGCUACUAUUUAGGCCUACCUGCACAUUAAUGCUGUGGACAGAUUUCCUAUUCACAUAAUCUCCUUCAUUUAUUGAAGGAGCGAUGAUAGGAAUGUGAGUGCCAUCUAUGCAGCCAAUCACACCUGGAAACCCUAAAAUAUAUCAAAUUGACUGAUUAGUGCUUCAAGUCUCAAAGCUUUAUGACAUAAAUGAAUUACUGCUUAGACUGAUACCUGCAAUUCUGUGGAACUCUUCUUUGAGAAGUCUGGUGGGUCUGUGACUUGGGAACACUACAAACGUGCAUAGUAGCCGUUUCAGUGCAAGUGUCACAUUUCGGACAGCCCGACAGACAGUUGCCUUGGACACAUGCUCUGCAUCACCGACGUUAUACAAAAAACUG